GAUGAACGCUAGCGGCAGGCUUAAUACAUGCAAGUCGAACGGCAAGGAUUUUUCGGAAUCCCUAGAGUGGCGCACGGGUGAGUAACACGUACACAACAUGCCCUAUAUUGGGAGAUAGCAUCGGGAAACUGGUGGUAAUACCCCAUAGUGUUAGUGAAAGGCAUCUUUUACUAACUAAAGAUUUAUUGAUAUAGGAUUGGUGUGCGUCCCAUUAGCUAGUUGGUAGGGUAACGGCCUACCAAGGCGACGAUGGGUAGCUGGCGUGAGAGCGCGACCAGCCACACUGGAACUGAGACACGGUCCAGACUCCUACGGGAGGCAGCAGUAGGGAAUAUUGGACAAUGGGCGAAAGCCUGAUCCAGCCAUGCCGCGUGAUAGAUGAAGGCCCUCUGGGUUGUAA
rnacentral:rRNA from 1 species